CGCUUUUGUCCCUUUGGAUUUGGAUGUGGGUUGGAUGCGGAACCAUCAUCUGGGCAGCUCCUGAAUGUUUAAAGGAACAACACCAGACUCUUGGGUCCCUCAGAAUAAAAAGCAUCCAUUCGUUCAAUUGGCAAAUUCCCAGUACAACAGCAGCGCUUUUGUCCCUUUGGAUUUGGAUGUGGGUUGGAUGCGAACCAUCAUCUGGGCAGCUCCUGAAUGUUUAAAGGAACAACACCAGACUCUUGGGUCCCUCAGAAUGAAAAGCAUCCAUUCGUUCAAUUGGCAAAUUCCCAGUACAACAGCAGGUGCCCAUCGUCAGUCCUUCUUCUCCACUUUACUGGAUCUGGAUCU
ensembl:lncRNA